CCAAAUAACAAGUGCAUCAUUUACUACAACGUAUGAUCCAGAAUUCAUAAAGUAUUACAAACUAAGUAGCACAUAGCUAACUUUAUUCAAUAAUAUCAACGAAAAGGUAGCAUAAUAAACGACGAGUCCAUCAAUGCCCACUAGAGAACAUGUCGAGUGAAGGCUCGCGACCCUAGUGCAUCUCACUGAUCAUCUGAAAAUCCUGCAACAUGAUAAGUUGUAGCCACAAACGGUCAAUACAUUGAAUGUAUUGGCAAAUCACACAAAAUGAUAUAGCAAACCUACAUCCACAAAGCAAUGUAUGACAAACAAAACACACAAGUUAGUUUGGAGAAGAAUGUCUUCACCUACCUCCACUACCUGAACUCACAACCGUCUCUAGUUUACUCGCCCAAGAUAACCCAAAGAUUCUAAAUAAACAUGACAAGAACUUCAGAAGUAUGUCUCAAGUGCGCUCUGUCAGUGGCGCAUUCUCUAGGAACAAUAGAGCGCUCUGCCAAGGACGCAUUCACCUGAUUUAUGUUCCGAAAACUAUACCUCACCUCAAGUGCGCUCUGUCAAUGACGCAUUCUCUAGGGACAAUAGAGCGCUCUGCCAGUGACGCAUUCACCUGGUUAAUAAUCCCAAGCCUACGGCUAUAAACACUCACCACUUUCAUGGAUCACUCGACACAUGCCCAUGUCUACCAUAGCAAGUUGAUCACACCAUAAAAAAAUACAAUCAAUAUCAGAAUAUGACCAUAGAGAACAUACAUAUCAAACCAAGCACAUGUCAUAGCAUAAAAACCACACAUGCAUAGCAGAAUAUAGGAUGAGCAAAAUCAAAAGUGCAACUUGCCUUGAACGCUGUUGAAGUACUCUAACGCUCAAUUCUGAUCCGCUUCACACUCCGGACAAUCUAUACGAUUAACGAAGGCACCGAUAAAUAAACCAUACUCCCAUAACACCACAAUAAAGUAAAUAGAAACAAAUUCAAAUAAAAACUUAAAUAACAGAACUUAUCAGUAGGUAUAUAUCAUCUACAUGCUGGCAGGAUCACAAUGCAAAAAGAAUCAACUGAAUUGGAUCAAUGGUUUAAAAGAUAUGGCCUCCAGAAGUUUGAAUUCAAAUUUAAACAUCAUAUUUGAAUAGUUCAACAAUGUGAAAUUUUGGUUCUGCGGUAUUCUCCUGGUCUCUACGAGUACACAGGAAAAAGAAUCGAUGAAUUUGGAGUUCCGGAUGUCAAGAUAAACCUAAAUGAAAAUUUGAUAUGGAAUCUGCAAAGAAAAAUUAUGCCAUAAUAGCGUUCUAGGAAGAACUGCCGCGGCUGCCGUGGACGUGCCACGUGUCGCAUGAUGACUGGCUGGAGGUUGUUUGCUUCUGUGGCUAACUGACGAACGUCCACUAAAUAGUGCAUACCGAUUUAUAGGAAAAAACAGCACUGAUCUAAUCCAGACCGUCGGAGGGAGAUCGGACGGAUGGGAUGACUCACCAGAGAGGAACAGAGUAUGCCGGCCGGAAUUGAACGAGACGGCGGCGGCACGGCUCAGAUUUGAAGCUGGCGUCGCUGGAGAGGCCUCCCGAGCUCGGGGAGAAUAGGACGAGGCGAGGAGGGACAUGUCGAACUCCAAAACAUCCUCCGGGAUGACCGGGCCUUCUGCUAACGUAGGUGAGGUUCGGCUAGAGCGGCGACGGCGAUGUUCGUCGGGGCGGAGGUCGAAGCACUCGGGUGGGUGCUUCCCUGCGAGAACUAAUAGGUGAGGGAGAGAGACGAGACCAUGGGUCAGAGAAUAGGGGCAGAAGGAGAAGCUAGGAACCUUCUGUGGCGAUGAAAUCGAGUGGUGGAGGUGCUCCUGCGGUGGUGGACUCCGGCGAGAUCCGGGCGAGGUGAAACAGGCACGAGAGAGAGGGAUUUUGCCAAAAAUCGGCAGAGGAGAGUAAGGGGACUAUUUAUACGGAGUCAAGACUGGGCGAGGGACAGUAGAUCGAUCGGAAACGAUGGGGAUUUGGAUCGGGAGGAGUCUCCAGGACAUGGGCAGAGGAGAGAGAUGAGAAGUGGGCC
rnacentral:lncRNA from 1 species